rnacentral:tRNA from 1 species
GGAUUCGUGGUCGAGUGGUAAGGACACUUGCCUCUCACCCUGGAGUCCCGGGUUCGAUCUCCGGUCGAGGAGCUAGGAUUCU